rnacentral:rRNA from 1 species
CGAUGGUGUAGCGCGAUGCUUCCAAGAAAUAACCUCUAGUCGUUGAUGGCGACCGUACCAAAACCGACACAGGUAGGUGGGAAGAAUAUUCUCAGGCGCGCGAGAGAACUCUCGUUAAGGAACUCGGCAAAUUAUCCUCGUAACUUCGGGAGAAGAGGAGCCUCCGAGCGUGAUGCCUUCGCGGCUAAGCGCUUAGAGGCCGCAGAGAAUAGGCCCAGGCGACUGUUUAGCAAAAACACAGCACUAUGCAAACUCGUUUAAGAGGAAGUAUAUGGUGUGAUGCCUGCCCAAUGCCAAAAGGUCAAUAGGAGAUGUCAGCCCUUCGGGGCGAAGCAUUGAAUUUAAGCCCUGGUGAAUGGCGGCCGUAACGAUAACGGUCCUAAGGUAGCGAAAU